UACGUAGGGUGCGAGCGUUGUCCGGAAUUACUGGGCGUAAAGAGCUUGUAGGCGGUUUGUCGCGUCGUCCGUGAAAACCAGUGGCUUAACCAUUGGCUUGCGGGCGAUACGGGCAGACUUGAGUAUUUCAGGGGAGACUGGAAUUCCUGGUGUAGCGGUGAAAUGCGCAGAUAUCAGGAGGAACACCGGUGGCGAAGGCGGGUCUCUGGGAAAUAACUGACGCUGAGAAGCGAAAGCGUGGGUAGCGAACAGGAUUAGAUACCCUGGUAGUCCACGCCGUAAACGGUGGGUACUAGGUGUGGGUUUCCUUCCACGGGAUCCGUGCCGUAGCUAACGCAUUAAGUACCCCGCCUGGGGAGUACGGCCGCAAGGCUAAA
rnacentral:rRNA from 1 species